rnacentral:tRNA from 1 species
GGCCUUGGUUAGAGCACUCGCCUGAAGAGCGAGGUGUCGGCAGUUCGAGUCUGCCCCCGA